rnacentral:rRNA from 1 species
AGAGUUUGAUCAUGGCUCAGGACGAACGCUGGCGGCGUGCUUAACACAUGCAAGUCGAGCGGAAAGGCCACUUCGGUGGUACUCGAGCGGCGAACGGGUGAGUAACACGUGAGUAAUCUGCCCCUGGCUUUGGGAUAGCCACCGGAAACGGUGAUUAAUACCGGAUACGACAACUUCUCGCAUGGGAUGGUUGUGGAAAGUUUUUCGGCCAGGGAUGUGCUCGCGGCCUAUCAGCUUGAUGGUGAGGUAAUGGCUCACCAUGGCUUCGACGGGUAGCCGGCCUGAGAGGGUGACCGGUCACACUGGGACUGAGACACGGCCCAGACUCCUACGGGAGGCAGCAGUGGGGAAUAUUGGACAAUGGGCGGAAGCCUGAUCCAGCAACGCCGCGUGAGGGAUGACGGCCUUCGGGUUGUAAACCUCUUUCGCCUGUGACGAAGCGCAAGUGACGGUAACAGGUAAAGAAGCACCGGCCAACUACGUGCCAGCAGCCGCGGUAAUACGUAGGGUGCGAGCGUUGUCCGGAAUUAUUGGGCGUAAAGGGCUCGUAGGCGGUUUGUCGCGUUGGGAGUGAAAACCAGGUGCUUAACACCUGGCUUGCUUUCGAUACGGGCAGACUAGAGGUAUUCAGGGGAGAACGGAAUUCCUGGUGUAGCGGUGAAAUGCGCAGAUAUCAGGAGGAACACCGGUGGCGAAGGCGGUUCUCUGGGAAUGACCUGACGCUGAGGAGCGAAAGUGUGGGGAGCGAACA